rnacentral:misc_RNA from 1 species
GUUGAAGUUGCUCCAUGCUUGAUGGAAUUCUGAUUAUUAAUAGUUUGAUUUGGAAGAAAUUUUGUUUGAGACCAAAUGUGAUGUGAUUCCAAUGCUGAAGGUAUCUUGAGUUUAGCAUGUUUGCAUUUUUUGGAUUAAUCGUCAGGUCCUGUUACUUGAGUUUUCUAGUAAUGUACAUGUAGGAAAACAUGCUUUCGUCUAAUGGAAGAGAUGAAAAAUAAUUGCUUAAACAAACUAUUGAGCUAGAAGAGGUCUGUAUUCGUUGCAUUAACGCAUGUUCUGAUAGAAAAGUGUUAUAGUACUGUCUUUCAUGUGAAUCUUGUCCAAGUCUUUUAGAAAAUAAAGCUGAGCCUUGGGUGCAGGUGCUUAGCUUUAUAGAACUUCAU